UUCCUGGUGGUCCAGUGGUUAAGACUCUGCACUUCCACUGCAGCAGGCACAGGCUCGAUCCCUGUUCAGGGAA
rfam:Ovis aries breed Texel chromosome 18, whole genome shotgun sequence.